rnacentral:guide_RNA from 1 species
AAUAUACGUGAUGUCAGAGAUACUAUGUGAAUUCUAUAUU